UACGUAGGCAGCAAGCGUUGUUCGGAGUUACUGGGCGUAAAGAGUACGUAGGCGGUUUGCUAAGUCUGGUGUGAAAUCUCCUGGCUUAACUGGGAGGGUGCGCUAGAUACUGGCAGGCUUGAGUAUGGGAGAGGAGAGUGGAAUUCCUGGUGUAGCGGUGAAAUGCGUAGAUAUCAGGAGGAACGCCGGUGGUGUAGACGGCUCUCUGGACCAUUACUGACGCUGAGGUACGAAAGCGUGGGUAGCAAACAGG
rnacentral:rRNA from 2 species